ACCAAUGAGACCAUUCUUUUUAGCACUGGUAGUGUUUAGUAAUUGCAGAUAUGUAUUACUAUCACGGGAAAAACAUUGCAUUGCUAAUUUCCAGAAAGCUUUUCACAUGAAUGUUUGGAACACACUCCAUCUUGUGAAGCCAGCUUUUCCGACACCUCGUGAAUGCAGCAUCAAUUAAACUAUUCUGGCAUUUUAGACUCAGUGCAACAACAAAGUUUAUGGAUUAUCAAAGAAACUGAAAACGUCCCAGCGGAUACUUACAGGUGUUGAAUCUAACAGCUGAGGUUGCUGAAAGGUAUAAAGGAUUAAUUAAAAGAAAAAAACACCAACACCGAGGACAAUAUUUACUUUCUGUCUGACAUCUGCUGCCGCGCGAGAUUGAAAGCAUCAGAGAAUGGUCUACCGGAUUGUGGUCAAGGAUGAAAAGGGGAUAGAUCGGACGAUGGACCUCGGUGACACAGAGCUGGAGAUGCAGAGAAUAACUGUGGGUCAGCUGAAGACAAGGAUAUCGAAGGUCUGUGGAAUCCCAGAAGACCAGCAGCGAUUGAUCUUUAAAGGCAGAGAGCUGGAAGGCAACACGAAACCGCUGUUUGAAUAUGGGAUCCAGCACAUGUCCUGCAUACAGAUGACUUUAAGACUACGUGGUGGAGCGAUGUCUCCUCUGCAUGACAGAGGACUGGGUGAUAAGGAGGGUGAAACUCGAAGAAGUAAAGAAUGUUUGAUGCCUGAUGUUUGAAUUUCCAAAUACAUUUUUGUGGUUGUAUGGUGGAUCUUUUUACGCAACAUAACGCCUGUAUUAACUGGAACCGCAUCCCUCCCCUUCCUCAUUUAGACAUGAAAGAUAUUUCACACUUCCUGUUACAUACUAUACAUACUUUAUCAAAACUGCCAUUAUAUGUUCAAAUGUAGACGUGCAAUUAUAUGCAGAUGACUCAGUAUUAUAUGUUCACGCCAGAACAAAGAAAGAAUGGUACCAGGUUCUGACUGCAGACAGAAUUAAUGUUUACAUCUCAACACAAAGAAAACUGUCUGCAUGUUUUGCCCCACCAGCCAACAGAAGGGAAGGAACCAAGUAUUAUUGAUAAUGGAGAGAUACUUGAAAUGGAUGAAAUAUGUAAAUGUCUUGGAAUAUUUUUUUAAGAAUCAAGUGUUUUGUAUUAAUAAGCCAUCAAUCUAAACAAAGGAAAUUUGCUAAAAUGUAGCAAGUCUUAGGGACCUUCUGGUGAGGGCGUUCUCCUGGGCAGUGAGGACACCAACUCAUCCCUCCCUGUACGUCCUGCGAGCGCUGAAUCCCUGGUGCUUCAGGUGUCUGAAGACAAGGGGACUGGUGUAAAAGCUGUCAGUGUAUACAAUACACCCAGAGCCCAAGUAGUCUUUGUUGACUAACGAGUUUACAACACCAACAGGCAACCCCUUCCCUGGCGGCGUUUUAGAUUUGCCAGCGUACAGCUGGAAAUCAGCGGUGUAUCCGUUUACAUCUGCCAACACAAAAAAUGUCAUACUCCACUUUGUUGGCUUGGAUUUUAUGUAUCGUUUGAUACCAAGUCUGGCCUUGGUCACGAUUCACUGGCUUCCCACAGUGGCGGACGAGAAACUCCCGCAACAAAACUAUACAGAUUUGAAAGCGUAAAUUGUUUUCUUUCAAACACCGUUUGACUUUUUCUGAUGUCGAAAACUGUUGCGACAUUACAGUAAGACAAAGUUAUGGAUGUGAAAAUGUGUCGAUGACGCGUUCAGUGUUAAAGGGUCAUUUUCAUUUAAAUCUUCAUUUAACCGUCAGUUCCAGCCUUCUCAAAAUAGACUGAGAUGUGAUCAAAGCAGAAAAGAGGCAUUUGGAGGUAAAAUUUAUAACGAUGCGA